CCAGACUCCUACGGGAGGCAGCAGUGGGGAAUAUUGGACAAUGGGGGGAACCCUGAUCCAGCGACGCCGCGUGAGUGAAGAAGUAUUUCGGUAUGUAAAGCUCUAUCAGCAGGGAAGAAAGAAAUGACGGUACCUGAAUAAGAAGCACCGGCUAAAUACGUGCCAGCAGCCGCGGUAAUACGUAUGGUGCAAGCGUUAUCCGGAUUUACUGGGCGUAAAGGGAGCGCAGGCGGCGCGCCAAGUCUAAUGUGAAGCCCCGGGGCGCAACCCCGGGCAUGCAUUGGAAACUGGCGGGCUGGAGUGCCGGAGAGGUAAGCGGAAUUCCUAGGGUAGCGGUGAAAUGCGUAGAUAUUAGGAGGAACACCAGUGGCGAAGGCGGCUUACUGGACGGCAACUGACGCUGAGGCUCGAAGGCGUGGGGAGCAAACAGGAUUAGAUACCCCAGUAA
rnacentral:rRNA from 1 species